rnacentral:snoRNA from 1 species
GAGUGAUAUGAUGGCAUACCAUCUUUCGGGACUGACUCUUACAAUGGAGAUAUUUCUCAUAUUUUACUGAUCACUU